CUCUCUCUCUUACUCCAACCGUCAACACUGACCAAUUGCUGGCCUCUGCACUUGAAAUAUGAACCAACCACUCCGUAUAAAAGCAAGCAGAAUUUGCGAACCGCAAUUCACUCGAAGACUGGGCAAGCAAGAAACCAUAAAAAAAGAAAAAAAAUCAAUCAGUAGGAGCAACUACGACAGUACAGCCGUCAAAUCGUCAAUACCAUUUUACAUCAACAAAAUUUGCUGGAGAUAUCAGUUGGAAUAAAAAUUUUCCUGAGUUUCGGAUUGUUAAACAAAGCCUUCAUUUCACACACAAUGAACAGAAUCGUUUUGCUAAUAUUAAUAAUAUCCUAUGUUACCGUCGCAAUGACUUUGACACUCGAGCCUUUGGUUGGUCCAUCGGAAAGCGAAUCCGCUAAAAGAGCGUCUACAAACCUCUUGAAAAUUCUACUCGAGGGUACAGGUGGUACAAGAAUAAAAAAAGGUUGCACUACAAAUUUUGAACAUCUCUGCACUGCACAGGAAGCUGCAGAACUAGCAGAACUGUUGAGAUUUCUUGAAAGUGGUGAAGGUCCCGGCAAAAAGUGAGACGAACUACCAAAAGUAGAUAUGCUUCAUACCAAUCACCGACGAGUCGCUGUUUUCCAGAUUAAACCACAGAUCAUAAAAGAGGGCAUAAAUGUAUUUUUAAUUCAUGUAUGUAUACAUGUAUGCAUACAUUUGCUAUGUAUAUAUAAUUCUACAUACAUUCAUAAGUAUGCUAGUUUGCGUAUGUGCACACACACACAGACACACACACACACACACACACACACGAAAAUACACAAACACAUGAAAAUGCACAACUUCAUUUAUGUGCGUUCACUACAGUAUAUUAAUUGUGGGAAGAUUUUAAGCGGUUGUUUA